GCCGCUUCAGCUCGGUAGAUGGAGCAAGUGCCUGUAAACAGUAGGCCAUCCGUUCGAUUCGGAUAAGCGCACCA
rnacentral:tRNA from 2 species